CAAGAAGGCUAAACGGCCUACAGCUUCUGGGGGCCCGUGACAGAUGCAGCAUUUUUUCUGCAGGCGAACGUCUGUGUAACUUGGAGGAGGGCAGCCCAGGCAGCGGCACCUACACCCGCCACGGCUACAUCUUUUCGUCGCUUGCCGGCUGUCUGAUGAAGAGCAGCGAGAAUGGCGCGCUUCCAGUGGUGUCUGUAGUGAGAGAAACAGAGUCCCAGUUACUGCCAGAUGUGGGAGCUAUUGUAACCUGUAAGGUCUCUAGCAUCAAUUCACGCUUUGCCAAAGUACACAUCCUGUAUGUGGGGUCCAUGCCACUUAAGAACUCUUUUCGAGGAACUAUCCGCAAGGAAGAUGUCCGAGCAACUGAAAAAGACAAGGUUGUUGGUUGAAAUUUAUAAGAGUUUCCGCCCAGGUGACAUUGUCUUGGCCAAAGUGAUCUCCUUAGGUGACA
rnacentral:sRNA from 1 species